GCCGGGGUAGCAGAGUGGUCAACCGACGUCCACAAUAAUGCGCGGGCCUUGAGAGCCUGUGACCCUUCCGGGUCUCGUGGGUUCGAAUCCUACCCCCGGCG
rnacentral:tRNA from 1 species